rnacentral:rRNA from 1 species
GAUGAACGCUGGCGGCGUGCUUAACACAUGCAAGUCGAACGAAGCACUUUAUUUGAUUUCCUUCGGGACUGAUUAUUUUGUGACUGAGUGGCGGACGGGUGAGUAACGCGUGGGUAACCUGCCUUGUACAGGGGGAUAACAGUUGGAAACGGCUGCUAAUACCGCAUAAGCGCACAGCAUCGCAUGAUGCAGUGUGAAAAACUCCGGUGGUAUAAGAUGGACCCGCGUUGGAUUAGCUAGUUGGUGAGGUAACGGCCCACCAAGGCGACGAUCCAUAGCCGACCGGAGAGGGUGAACGGCCACAUUGGGACUGAGACACGUCCCACACUCCUACGGGAGGCAGCAGUGGGGAAUAUUGCACAAUGGGCGAAAGCCUGAUGCAGCGACGCCGCGUGAGCGAAGAAGUAUUUCGGUAUGUAAAGCUCUAUCAGCAGGGAAGAUAAUGACGGUACCUGACUAAGAAGCACCGGCUAAAUACGUG